GAUGAACGCUAGCGGCAGGCCUAACACAUGCAAGUCGAGGGGUAGAAUUAGCUUGCUAAUUUGAGACCGGCGCACGGGUGCGUAACGCGUAUGCAAUCUACCUUGUACAGGGGGAUAGCCCAGAGAAAUUUGGAUUAAUACUCCAUGGUAUAAUUGAAUCGCAUGGUUUGAUUAUUAAAGUUCCAACGGUACAAGAUGAGCAUGCGUCCCAUUAGCUAGUUGGUGUGGUAACGGCAUACCAAGGCGACGAUGGGUAGGGGUCCUGAGAGGGAGAUCCCCCACACUGGUACUGAGACACGGACCAGACUCCUACGGGAGGCAGCAGUGAGGAAUAUUGGUCAAUGGUCGGAAGACUGAACCAGCCAUGCCGCGUGCAGGAAGACGGUCUAUGGAUUGUAAACUGCUUUUGGACGGGAAGAAACACUCCUUCGUGAAGGAGCUUGACGGUACCUAAGAAUAAGGAUCGGCUAACUCCGUGCCAGCAGCCCGCGGU
rnacentral:rRNA from 1 species